UGGGCAACAUCCUCUUCCUGAGGCUUGGAAGAGAGAGAUACCCACUGUGUGGUAGCAUCAGUAGCCCUGUCUACUGCCUGCCCCCUGUGGGCCUCCUCCACAGCCUGGAGCUCUCUUACUGACCACCAACCUCAUGUCUUAUACCAAAGGGAUCAAGCUCUAUGUGAAGCUUCCCCCACCCCCAACCCAUCUUCUCUUUCCCCAGCGCCUGGCUGGAGCGACCCUCCUCAUCUUUGCCAACAAGCAGGACCUGCCUGGAGCACUGUCCUGUAAUGCUAUUCAGGAGGCCCUAGAGCUGGACUCCAUCCGCAGCCACCACUGGCGCAUCCAAGGCUGCAGUGCCGUCACAGGGGAGGACCUGCUGCCUGGCAUCGACUGGCUCCUCGAUGACAUUUCCAGUCGUGUCUUUACUGCCGACUGAGCUUCUUCAGUGUCCCAGCUCACUGUCUAGGUCCCUGUCCUCAUCCGACACCAGCCGGAGGGAUAAGCACCAGCUGGCCAGACUAACAUUCCCAACCCCACCGUGACCUGCUGCUGCUACUGCUGCCCACUGCUGCUCCCUCGGAGGAGGGCUGUCACCCAUCUCCCAAAGUGGCCUGCAGCCGCCAUGCCAAAAGGAAAGACUGGGCUGGGAGGGACUGCCUGCUGCUGCCAGGAUCCUGGGUGUCCUCCUCACCUGUCCAGCAGUGAGAAUAAAGUCCUCCUCACCCAGUC
rnacentral:lncRNA from 1 species